rnacentral:rRNA from 1 species
GACGAACGCUGGCGGCGUGCUUAACACAUGCAAGUCGAACGGUAAGGCCCUUCGGGGUACACGAGUGGCGAACGGGUGAGUAACACGUGGGUGAUCUGCCCUGCACUUCGGGAUAAGCCUGGGAAACUUGAGCUAAUACCGUGUACGUCCGUGAGGAGAGAGAUUUAUCGCCCUUAGACGGGCCCGCGUCGGAUUAGCUAGUUGGUGGGGUAACGGCCUACCAAGCGACGAUCCGUAGCUGAUCUUAGAGGAUGAUCAGCCACACUGGGACUGAGACACGGCCCAGACUCCUACGGGAGGCAGCAGUGGGGAAUCUUGGGCAAUGGGCGCAAGCCUGAUCCAGCCAUGCCGCGUGAGUGAAGAAGGUCUUCGGAUUGUAAAGCUCUUUUGCCAGGGACGAUAAUGACGGUACCUGGAGAAUAAGCCCCGGCAAACUUCGUGCCAGCCGCCGCCGUAA